rnacentral:rRNA from 1 species
GAUGAACGCUGGCGGCGUGCCUAAUACAUGCAAGUCGAGCGAACGGACGAGAAGCUUGCCUUUCUGAUGUUAGCGGCGGACGGGUGAGUAACACGUGGAUAACCUACCUAUAAGACUGGGAUAACUUCGGGAAACCGGAGCUAAUACCGGAUAAUAUUUUGAACCGCAUGGUUCAAAAGUGAAAGACGGUCUUGCUGUCACUUAUAGAUGGAUCCGCGCUGCAUUAGCUAGUUGGUAAGGUAACGGCUUACCAAGGCAACGAUGCAUAGCCGACCUGAGAGGGUGAUCGGCCACACUGGAACUGAGACACGGUCCAGACUCCUACGGGAGGCAGCAGUAGGGAAUCUUCCGCAAUGGGCGAAAGCCUGACGGAGCAACGCCGCGUGAGUGAUGAAGGUCUUCGGAUCGUAAAACUCUGUUAUUAGGGAAGAACAUAUGUGUAAGUAACUGUGCACAUCUUGACGGUACCUAAUCAGAAAGCCACGGCUAACUACAUG